UACGGAGGGUGCGAGCGUUGUCCGGAAUCACUGGGCGUAAAGGGCGCGUAGGCGGCCAACUAAGUCAGACGUGAAAUCCCUCGGCUUAACCGGGGAACUGCGUCUGAUACUGGAUGGCUUGAGUUCGGGAGAGGGAUGCGGAAUUCCAGGUGUAGCGGUGAAAUGCGUAGAUAUCUGGAGGAACACCGGUGGCGAAGGCGGCAUCCUGGACCGACACUGACACUGAGGAGCGAAAGCCAGGGGAGCAAACGGG
rnacentral:rRNA from 1 species